rnacentral:lncRNA from 10 species
AAAUGCCCAGCUCGCCCUUUCCAUCCACAUUCCUCUGCUCAUUCAACAGAACCAUCUGGUGUGUGCCUACCAUGUGCUGAGGACUUAGAAGCAACACCUCAGUCAUUUUCCUUGGGGAUCUCUCAGUCUGUCAGCUGUGGUGAUAGGGACAGGCAACCCAUAAGACAGGUGGGGAAGGGAGCACCGAAAGUCAAUGAAGAGAUGUGAUCUGGAGUGAUUUACUACCAGGCCAAGUGACAGUCACCCUAUUUUGCUAUUUUUUAAUUACCAUUUCGAAUUAAUAAUGUGUCUCUUCCCACGCAUCCCCCUCAGAGUGGGGCGUAAACACCUUUGUAUGUGACUGUGCAGAGCUUUGAAGCUCCCAGAACAGCAGCCCUCCUGCCUUGCCUUCUCCCCAGGUAAUGUGACCCAGGCCUGUCCUUGGCUGCAGCCACCAACCCCACCCGGAGCGGCUGUCUGAACUGCCUGGCCUGCCUGGGUCUCCACGAAGGCCAGGAUCAGGCAGAAGGCGAUGGAGGCACCUCCCGCCUUUGCUUCGUUAGUCCCAGGACGAGCGGGCCCGCGCGUACCCGGAGAGGGGCGGCGGCGCGGGUGGCCUGGCGGGUCCCGGGGCCUCGGUUCGCAUCGGAGUCCCCUCUGUGCUCGCCCUGCAGCCGCUGCCCGAGAGGUCUGAGUCGCCACCAGCUGUGUCCGCGGGGAUGUGGGGAGCGAGAUGGGAGGGGUCGCCCGCUAGUCGUCCCCGCCGGACACCGGGCACCGCGUAGCCUCAGAGAGCCGCCCGGACGCGGGGCCGCCCUGGGGAGCGGGUGAGGCCGAGGACCAGGGGGAAGGAGGAGCCCGUGGACGGCUGCAGCCCCAGAUAAGAAGCUACAGCAUCUGUCAAGAGCCGUAUGUAGCUUGAGAUGACUACCUGAAGAUGUAUCAUGGUAUCAGCUGGUUAGUUAAGAAGUCGUUUUCCAGCUUCAACUGGCAAGUAACAAGCCAAGCAAGAAUUUCAAUGGAAAAUUACAGAGAUACUAACAGGUUUGAGUACUUAUGAAUACAAAAUAAAUAAACGGAUUUAAAUUACUUUAUUAUUACAAUGCAGAAAUGAGGAAGUGUAAUAGCCAGCUAGUCUUGGAACAUGGCACUGUGAAUGAAAUGAUUAAUUGCAUAUUCAUCUGGUCUCAGAUACAGGACAUUCUCUUGCAUAGGUUAAAUGUAUUAAUGGUAGAGAAUUAUGCAAAAAAUACUCAUUUUCUCCAAUACCAGAACAUACAGGAAGCAAGUAAAGUGAGUGCCUUUUUACCAAUAGUACCAGUAGAUAAGAAGAUAAGAUACAGAUAAUAAAGCACAGAGCAUUGCACAGAUCUACACCAAUGGAUUGGAAUGGAAUGUAGGAUUCUCUUCUUGCUGUGGACACCAUCAAAAUGUGAGAUCACUUCUCUGCUCAAUAGGACAAUCAUACUGAUUCCUUAGGAAGACAUAUAGGAAUCAGUAGAGGGAGAUCCUACCCUGGAAUCGUUUGAUGUCCUUGGGUUAUCUUCCUCUACAAAAAGGGCUAGUUGAAAUAAUGACAUGUGGGAGAUCAGCACUCCAAGUCAAAAUUGCAAAACAGAAGAAAAUUCCAGAAUUAUAUCACUGUUAAGAUAGCAACAAAUAAAUAAUUUGCACCCUACAACCCAUGUGUGAAUUUAAUUCUGGAAAACCCAAUCUGAGACAGGGACAUCCAUCACCAUGUGAAAAAGCCUGGGAUAGUCUGCUGGAAGAAAAUGUAACUUGCAGAGAAUAGAACAGAUAAACCUUGCAGUGUACCCAGUUGGAUUUCAGAACAUUGAAGAGCAGCAGCUUUUAUGGGAAUAAGAGUGUCCCUUACAGGCCUCAAUUGCUUCAAGAAGGCAGAUUAAUGAAUAAUAUUGAAAAGUUUGAAAUAGAAGCCAUUAUUCUCAG